CGACAAGAUCGCCCACGCAAGAAAUACAGCCAGCAUCGUCCAGUGGAUGAGUUUGGAGUACAUAAGUUUGCCAGGGCAAACAAUCAAAGUCAAUUUGCUCUGGUCGUCUCAAAAGUUUGUCCUAGCAUAGCUUGCGUAGCUAGUAUUGCCUGGUUUUAGUUGUUGCAUGUAAGCUUGUGAGUUGGUGGCCUGGUUCAUGC
rnacentral:lncRNA from 1 species